CAUUGUUGUCCCAUUGCAUAGAAU
rnacentral:siRNA from 1 species